AUUGAACGCUGGCGGCAGGCCUAACACAUGCAAGUCGAGCGGAGCGGCGGACGGGUGAGUAAUGCCUAGGAAUCUGCAUGGUAGUGGGGGAUAACGUCCGGUAACGGGCGCUAUGACUGCAUACUAUCAGAUGAGCCUAGGUCGGAUUGGCUGUUUGGUGGGGUAAGGGCCUACCAAGGCGACGAGCCGUAACUGGUCUGAGAGGAUGAGCAUUCACACGUGAACUGAGACACGGUCCAGACUCCGACGGGAGGCAGCAGUGGGGAAUAUUGGACAAUGGGCGAAAGCCUGAUCCAGCCAUGCCGCGUGUAUGAAGAAGGUCUUCGGAGUGUAAAGCACUUUAAGUUGGGAGGCGUUACCAGCAGAAUAAGCACCGGCUAACUUCGUGCCAGCAGCCGCGGUAAGUC
rnacentral:rRNA from 1 species